UACAGAGGCCUCAAGCGUUGUUCGGAUUUAUUGGGCGUAAAGGGUGCGUAGGCGGUACCGAAAGUUAGGUGUGAAAGUUCGAGGCUUAACCUCGAAAUUGCACCUAAUACUCCGGUGCUUGAGUCUCAUAGAGGAAUCUGGAAUUCACGGUGUAGCAGUGAAAUGCGUAGAUAUCGUGAAGAAGGCCUGUGGCGAAAGCAAGAUUCUGGGUGACGACUGACGCUGAGGCACGAAAGCCAGGGGAGCAAACGGG
rnacentral:rRNA from 1 species